CGUAUAGGCUGGCAAGCUACGCUGGUACUACGAGUGGCGUAAGCGUGUACCGGAAGUACUGGGCGUACAUCGCGCUUGGGCUGAUCAGCAAAGUUUACGGGAAAUACCCGGGCUCAUCCUGAGAACUGCCUCAAAAACUACUGAGCUAUAGUACGGUAGAGUGUAGUGGAAUUUCCUGUGUAGCGGUGAAAUGCGUAGAUAUAGGAAGGAACACCAGUGGCGAAGGCGACUACCUGGACUGAUACUGACACUGAGGUGCGAAAGCGUGGGGAGCAAACAGGAUUAGAUACCCGAGUAGUC
rnacentral:rRNA from 1 species